CUGAACCAGCCAAGUAGCGUGAAGGAAGACUGCCCUAUGGGUUGUAAACUUCUUGUAUACGGGAAUAAAAUCAACCACGUGUGGAUGUUUGUUUGUACCAUAUGAAUAAGCAUCGGCUAACUGCGUGCCAGCAUCCGCGGUAAUACGGAGGGUCCGAGCGUUAUCCGGAUUAAUUGGGUUUAAAGAGAGCGUAGGCGGGCUUUUAAGUCAGUUGUGAAAGUUUGCGG
rnacentral:rRNA from 1 species